AACGAACGCUGGCGGCAUGCCUAACACAUGCAAGUCGAACGAGACCUUCGGGUCUAGUGGCGCACGGGUGCGUAACGCGUGGGAACCUGCCCUUAGGUUCGGAAUAACUCCCCGAAAGGGGUGCUAAUACCGGAUAAUAUCUUCGGACCAAAGAUUUAUCGCCUUUGGAUGGGCCCGCGUUGGAUUAGCUAGUUGGUAGGGUAAAAGCCUACCAAGGCGACGAUCCAUAGCUGGUCUGAGAGGAUGAUCAGCCACACUGGGACUGAGACACGGCCCAGACUCCUACGCGAGGCAGCAGUGGGGAAUAUUGGACAAUGGGCGAAAGCCUGAUCCAGCAAGGCCGCGUGAGUGAUGAAGGCCUUAGGGUUGUAAAGCUCUUUUACACGGGAUGAUAAUGACAGUACCGGGAGAAUAAGCUCCGGCUAACUCCGUG
rnacentral:rRNA from 1 species